rnacentral:rRNA from 1 species
GACGAACGCUGGCGGCGUGCUUAACACAUGCAAGUCGAACGGGCCCGCUCUCUUUUUUGGGGGUGGGUUGAGUGGCGAACGGGUGAGUAUCACGUGAGUAACCUGCCCCCUGCUCCUGGAUAACUGCUUGAAAGGGCGGCUAAUACGGGGUGUGCCGGCUGGUCCGCAUGGGCCUGGUCGGGAUAGUUUCAUCUUCGGGUGUUUCGGUGGGGGAUGGGCUCGCGGCCUAUCAGCUUGUUGGUGGGGUGAUGGCCCACCAAGGCGGUGACGGGUAGCCGGCCUGAGAGGGUGGGCGGCCACACUGGGACUGAGACACGGCCCAGACUGCUGCGGGAGGCAGCAGUGGGGGGUAGGGCACAAUGGGCGGAAGCCUGAUGCAGCGACGUCGCGUGAGGGAUGGAGGCCUUCGGGUUGUGAACCUCUUUCUCCGGUGGUGAAGGCCCUGUCCGUUGCGGCGGGGUUGACGGUAGCCGGGGAUGAAGCGCCGGCUAACUACGUG